CCUACGGGCGGCAGCAGUGGGGAAUAUUGCACAAUGGGCGCAAGCCUGAUGCAGCCAUGCCGCGUGUGUGAAGAAGGCCUUCGGGUUGUAAAGCACUUUCAGCGGGGAGGAAGGCGGUGAGGUUAAUAACCUCAUCGAUUGACGUUACCCGCAGAAGAAGCACCGGCUAACUCCGUGCCAGCAGCCGCGGUAAUACGGAGGGUGCAAGCGUUAAUCGGAAUUACUGGGCGUAAAGCGCACGCAGGCGGUCUGUCAAGUCGGAUGUGAAAUCCCCGGGCCCAACCUGGGAACUGCAUUCGAAACUGGCAGGCUAGAGUCUUGUAGAGGGGGGUAGAAUUCCAGGUGUAGCGGUGAAAUGCGUAGAGAUCUGGAGGAAUACCGGUGGCGAAGGCGGCCCCCUGGACAAAGACUGACGCUCAGGUGCGAAAGCGUGGGGAGCAAACAGGAUUAGAUACCCGAGUAGUC
rnacentral:rRNA from 1 species